GUUGACCUCGGAUCAGGUAGGGAUACCCGCUGAACUUAAGCAUAUCAUAACCGGGGAGAGAAAAGGG
rnacentral:rRNA from 1 species